CGGAAUUCUCGAGUAUGUAUUAAAAUCACAGCUUGAAGAAAUUAAACUAGAUGUUGCCAUAUUACCAGAAAACUAAAGCAACAAAAUUACAGUAGCAUGAAGAAAUUAAUUUCGAUUAUCCAAGAUUUCAAUUUUCCGAGAUGAAUACAUUAUAAAAGUAUGAUUUCUAAUGAAGAAAAACAUAAAAAUAAAUCCUUCCUACAAAAAUAAAAGAAGCUUGAAGCUCAGCAUCUGAGUGCUGAUGCAUUGCCAAAGGAUCUUCAGUUGCCCAAUUGAAUGAACGAAUCGGGUCAGCAAUUCAAUGACCCGAUUUGAUCAAGAACUGGAUCAUCCUCCAUUUUCUUCCUUCCCGUUGCUGCUGCUCCUUUUGAAGAAGUAUCUGAAUUCAUUUGAUGGAGAAUUAAUGGAGGAAUGACCCAUAAAGACAUUAAGAGAAUACUCUGGUUGAUUGGUGAAUGAUUAACUUCAAUAAAAGAUGUGGGAGAAUUGAGUUGGUGGAGAGAGGAUCUUCUAAGCAUAUGCCUCGACCAUUAACUUUGCUUGCUUGCUUUGCCCUUUUCUAAGUUUUCUUUACAAGUAAA
rnacentral:lncRNA from 1 species